UACGAAGGGGGCUAGCGUUGUUCGGAAUUACUGGGCGUAAAGCGCACGUAGGCGGACAUUUAAGUCAGGGGUGAAAUCCCAGAGCUCAACUCUGGAACUGCCUUUGAUACUGGGUGUCUUGAGUAUGGAAGAGGUGAGUGGAAUUCCGAGUGUAGAGGUGAAAUUCGUAGAUAUUCGGAAGAACACCAGUGGCGAAGGCGGCUCACUGGACCGGUAUUGACGCUGAGGUGCGAAAGCGUGGGGAGCAAACAGG
rnacentral:rRNA from 1 species